rnacentral:rRNA from 1 species
UACGUAGGGGGCAAGCGUUGUUCGGAAUUACUGGGCGUAAAGGGCUCGUAGGUGGCCAACUAAGUCGGACGUGAAAUCCCUCAGCUUAACUGGGGAACUGCGUCCGAUACUGGAUGGCUCGAGUUUGGGAGAGGGAUGCGGAAUUCCUGGUGUAGCGGUGAAAUGCGCAGAUAUCAGGAGGAACACCGGUGGCGAAGGCGGGUCUCUGGGCCGAUACUGACGCUGAGGAGCGAAAGCGUGGGGAGCGAACAGG